AGUUUGAUCCUGGCUCAGGAUGAACGCUAGCUACAGGCUUAACACAUGCAAGUCGAGGGGCAUCAGGGUGUAGCAAUACACCGCUGGCGACCGGCGCACGGGUGAGUAACACGUAUCCAACCUGCCCUUUACUCGGGGAUAGCCUUUCGAAAGAAAGAUUAAUACCCGAUGGCAUAACAUGACCUCCUGGUUUUGUUAUUAAAGAAUUUCGGUAGAGGAUGGGGAUGCGUUCCAUUAGGCAGUUGGCGGGGUAACGGCCCACCAAACCUUCGAUGGAUAGGGGUUCUGAGAGGAAGGUCCCCCACAUUGGAACUGAGACACGGUCCAAACUCCUACGGGAGGCAGCAGUGAGGAAUAUUGGUCAAUGGGCGAGAGCCUGAACCAGCCAAGUAGCGUGAAGGAUGACCGCCCUAUGGGUUGUAAACUUCUUUUAUAUGGGAAUAAAGGGUGCCACGUGUGGCAUUUUGUAUGUACCAUAUGAAUAAGGAUCGGCUAACUCCGUGCCAGCAGCCGCGGUAAUACGGAGGAUCCGAGCGUUAUCCGGAUUUAUUGGGUUUAAAGGGAGCGUAGGUGGACAUGUAAGUCAGUUGUGAAAGUUUGCGGCUCAACCGUAAAAUUGCAGUUGAAACUGCGUGUCUUGAGUACAGUAGAGGUGGGCGGAAUUCGUGGUGUAGCGGUGAAAUGCUUAGAUAUCACGAAGAACUCCGAUUGCGAAGGCAGCUCACUGGACUGCAACUGACACUGAUGCUCGAAAGUGUGGGUAUCAAACAGGAUUAGAUACCCUGGUAGUCCACACAGUAAACGAUGAAUACUCGCUGUUUGCGAUAUACAGUAAGCGGCCAAGCGAAAGCAUUAAGUAUUCCACCUGGGGAGUACGCCGGCAACGGUGAAACUCAAAGGAAUUGACGGGGGCCCGCACAAGCGGAGGAACAUGUGGUUUAAUUCGAUGAUACGCGAGGAACCUUACCCGGGCUUAAAUUGCAAAUGAAUAUGCCGGAAACGGCAUAGCCGCAAGGCAUUUGUGAAGGUGCUGCAUGGUUGUCGUCAGCUCGUGCCGUGAGGUGUCGGCUUAAGUGCCAUAACGAGCGCAACCCUUAUCUUCAGUUACUAACAGGUCAUGCUGAGGACUCUGGAGAGACUGCCGUCGUAAGAUGUGAGGAAGGUGG
rnacentral:rRNA from 1 species